rnacentral:rRNA from 1 species
AUAUCAAUAAGCGGAGGAAAAGAAACCAACAGGGAUUGCCUUAGUAACGGCGAGUGAAGCGGCAAAAGCUCAAAUUUGAAAUCUGGCACCUUCGGUGUCCGAGUUGUAAUUUGAAGAAGGUAAUUUGGAGUCAGCUCUUGUCUAUGUUCCUUGGAACAGGACGUCACAGAGGGUGAGAAUCCCGUGCGAUGAGAUGUCUGAUUCUAUGUAAAGUGCUUUCGAAGAGUCGAGUUGUUUGGGAAUGCAGCUCUAAGUGGGUGGUAAAUUCCAUCUAAAGCUAAAUAUUGGCGAGAGACCGAUAGCGAACAAGUACAGUGAUGGAAAGAUGAAAAGAACUUUGAAAAGAGAGUGAAAAAGUACGUGAAAUUGUUGAAAGGGAAGGGUUUGAGAUCAGACUUGGUAUUUUGUAUGUCUUGCUUUCGGGUGGGGCCUCUACAGUUUACUGGGCCAGCAUCGGUUUGGACGGUAGGAUAAUGACAUUGGAAUGUGGCACCACUUCGGUGGUGUGUUAUAGACUUUGUUGAUACUGCCUGUCUAGACCGAGGACUGCGU